CGGCUCAGUAACACGUGGAUAACCUACCCUCAGAUCUGGGAUAACUCCGGGAAACUGGAGAUAAUACCGGAUAAUCCGUGAACGCUGGAAUGCCUUACGGUUGAAAGCUUUAGCGUCUGAGGAUGGGUCUGCGGCCGAUUAGGUAGUUGCUGGGGUAACGUCCCAACAAGCCGAUAAUCGGUACGGGUUGUGAGAGCAAGAGCCCGGAGAUGGAUUCUGAGACACGAAUCCAGGUCCUACGGGGCGCAGCAGGCGCGAAAACUUUACACUGCGCGAAAGCGCGAUAAGGGGACCUCGAGUGCGUGCGCAAUGCGUACGCUUUUCAGAUGCCUAAAAAGCAUCUGGAAUAAGGGCCGGGCAAGACCGGUGCCAGCCGCCGCGGUAACACCGGCGGCUCAAGUGGUGGCCGCUAUUAUUGGGCUUAAAGGGUCCGUAGCCGGACCAGUUAGUCCCUUGGGAAAUCUUACGGCUUAACCGUAAGGCUGCCAAUGGAUACUGCUGGUCUUGGGACCGGGAGAGGCAAGAGGUACCUCAGGGGUAGGAGUGAAAUCCUGUAAUCCUUGAGGGACCGCCAGUGGCGAAGGCGUCUUGCUAGAACGGGUCCGACGGUGAGGGACGAAAGCUAGGGGCACGAACCGGAUUAGAUACCCGGGUAGUCCUAGCCGUAAACGAUG
rnacentral:rRNA from 1 species